ACUGAAAUUACAGAGACUGUGUCCACUUGUGUAAAUCUCUCCUACUUUUUAAUUAACUGAAAACUAAAAAUUCCUAAUAUAACUUUCUGUUUGUCACCUACCACAUACAAUUCUUGCAUAGCCCACUGAAGUCAAAACACAUUACGUUCAUUUUUGUAUGUAAUUGCUCCCUCGGAAUUGUUUACCACUGCUAAGAAACUACAUUCUUCCGGCUCCUUUUGUUAAAUUACAUUUUAACAGCUUUGAGAACCAGAGCCUUCCUAUUUAUUUUUGACAGAUUUUCUACAUUCAUUUUUGCUGAGUUAGUUUGGGGGUGUUUUUUGAGCAUUCUUUAGUAUUGGCAAGAUCGGUUCUUGAGGAAGCAUAACCACAGGAAAAUGUAGAAUCUUAACUUGUUUAGGAAUCAGUACUAUAGAGAUGCAUCAACACAUUUCUCAUAUAAGUUCAUCUCACUCAGAAAAUAUUCCAUGUGUUGAGUGCCUUUAGAUACUCAUUUUCUGUGGAAGACCCUGCGUUUUACUUCAAGAUAUUUGGGAGGAUAUUGAGAAGUAAUAAUAGCUACAGAGUUGAGAUAAACACCUUUAACAGCAUUUCAGGAAGAAUAUUCAGUUAGAGCUCAUUAUAAAAAAAUAAAGUCAUAAAUAUUUGUAAAAUUAACAAUAGAAUACUUAAUUUUCUAUCUUUCAAAGGAAUGUCUGCUAAAAGAAUACCAGCCCCACUGAAGGGAACAUGCUUCUGUUGGUCACAUGGAAGAAGGUGUCUGAAGGACUGGGGGCUUACACGUAGUUACAGUGGUGUAGACGUGCAAUUCUAUUAGAAAUUAGAUAUGUCAGUAUAAUACUGAAAUGAGCCUCAUGGAUUCUAUUUGUAACACUUUGUUCUACAACAGUGAGCAAACUACAAUUUUCUUUGGGUUCUACUUGCUCAGUCCUCAUGAGGAAACAAAUCUCCACAAAGUUCUGUCAGACCCAAUCAGAAAAAAGAUCGGAAUGGCCAGACUCUAUGUCAUGUCUUAUGAAGAAACUGGAACAGCUGAAUUUAGAUAUUGAAGAAGCUCUGAGUGCUAGCUCGUCUCCCUCCAGUACUCCUUCUACCACAAGGCACAAACAACUGUGCCCUGCUCAAGUGGAGACAAGCUCUUAUGGAGAUCAUCAAGGAAAAGGAUCGUGGAAGCACAGAAGUGCAGACUACCAGGAUUUAGACUGUUUACCUUACCCAGUAUCAACUGGAGCACGACCUAAACCUUAUGUGCUGUUUCAGAAGCUGUCUAAGGAGAAAGCAGGCAGGAGAUACCGGUUGACUGCAGCAUGAACAGGAAAAUGGAUAUGGCUCACAGAACCAUCCUCUGUUCUGGGAUUUUCUUCUUGCUCUUGUGGCAAUGGAGAAGGUGGUUGGUCUCUUUGAGCCUUUUACCUGACAUGAAAGUGUGCAUCUGCUGGAGAUGGAGCUGAGGUUAUAGCCAUGAGCUUCCCUGUCCUACCCUCUGCACAGAGCAACAGUGGCUGGACACUGCGGUACCUCCUAGGCUGAGAUAGUACUUGUGACCCGUGCUACUGUUAUUCCAGCUACACAAGUUUACCCAAGAUGAAAUUCUGGCCUUGUAAACCAGGGAAAAUAAAACCUUAUCAUCCAAAGCUCCUGUGCAUUUACUAGAAAGGUGAAUGGGGUCACUUGGCUGUGUUUCCAACAUGAAGACGAGAUGCUUACUUUGGCCUGAAAAAUGAUCAGGCUCUUCUCCCCACAGUAGUAUAGUGAAAAUAAACUAGUGAAUAGGCCACCAGGUGUUUGGUGGCCUUGGCCUGUUGAAUAGCUGCAGUCUGUAUGGCUCAAUUUAGAAGCAAGUAGACUUGGUCCUUCUUCUGUAGCCAGUGCAUCAGAGGGUCCUUUCCUUUGGCUUCUGUUCAACUCCCGUGCUUCUGUUCCAUUUGGCUCCUAAUGUUAGGCAGUGAGAUUGGCUCUUCCUGCCUUUAUGUUCCUUUUGGAAUCAGUAACGACAGAACAAACUCCUUGCUUCUUCUCAAUAGGAAAAUCUUUGCUUUCCAGCCCCUCCUGUUGUACUGGGGCCCCGAAGGCAAACUGUGGUCUUCAGCUCUUGCAAUGGAAAUGAGCAAAAUAAUGCAUGAGUAAAAUUCAUGCAUAUUUCAGGAUACUACUGUUUCUAAAAAGAUAAUAAAACAUAUAUGUUUACUGUUUUACUCUGUGAGCUUUACAUGAAAGCUUGAAUUAUUAAGAAAUACUUUGAAUCUUACAUUGGAAACUUCACCAACAAAAC
rnacentral:lncRNA from 7 species